rnacentral:rRNA from 1 species
GGAUCCAGACUUUGAUCAUGGCUCAGGAUGAGCGCUAGCUACAGGCUUAACACAUGCAAGUCGAGGGGAAACGACAUCGAAAGCUUGCUUUUGAUGGGCGUCGACCGGCGCACGGGUGGAGUAACGCGUAUCCAACCUGCCCAUCACUUGGGGAUAACCUUGCGAAAGUAAGACUAAUACCCAAUGACGUCUCUAGAAGACAUCUGAAAGAGAUUAAAGAUUUAUCGGUGAUGGAUGGGGAUGCGUCUGAUUAGCUUGUUGGCGGGGUUACGGCCCACCAAGGCAACGAUCAGUAGGGGUUCUGAGAGGAAGGUCCCCCACAUUGGAACUGAGACACGGUCCAAACUCCUACGGGAGGCAGCAGUGAGGAAUAUUGGUCAAUGGGCGAGAGCCUGAACCAGCCAAGUAGCGUGCAGGAUGACGGCCCUAUGGGUUGUAAACUGCUUUUAUAAGGGAAUAAAGUGAGUCUCGUGAGACUUUUUGCAUGUACCUUAUGAAUAAGGACCGGCUAAUUCCGUGCCAGCAGCCGCGGUAAUACGGAAGGUCCGGGCGUUAUCCGGAUUUAUUGGGUUUAAAGGGAGCGUAGGCCGGAGAUUAAGCGUGUUGUGAAAUGUAGACGCUCAACGUCUGCACUGCAGCGCGAACUGGUUUCCUUGAGUACGCACAAAGUGGGCGGAAUUCGUGGUGUAGCGGUGAAAUGCUUAGAUAUCACGAAGAACUCCGAUUGCGAAGGCAGCUCACUGGAGCGCAACUGACGCUGUAGCUCGAAAGUGCGGGUAUCGAACAGGAUUAGAUACCCUGGUAGUCCGCACGGUAAACGAUGGAUGCCCGCUGUUGGUCUGAAUAGGUCAGCGGCCAAGCGAAAGCAUUAAGCAUCCCACCUGGGGAGUACGCCGGCAACGGUGAAACUCAAAGGAAUUGACGG